CAGUCGCCGCGGGAAUACGAAGGGGGCUAGCGUUGCUCGGAAUGACUGGGCGUAAAGGGCGCGUAGGCGGUUGUUACAGUCAGAUGUGAAAUUCCUGGGCUUAACCUGGGGACUGCAUUUGAUACGUGAUGACUUGAGUGGAGGAGAGGGUCGUGGAAUUUCCAGUGUAGAGGUGAAAUUCGUAGAUAUUGGAAAGAACACCGGUGGCGAAGGCGGCGACCUGGCCUUUAACUGCCGCUGAGGCGCGAAAGCGUGGGGAGCAAACAGGAUUAGAUACCCGGGUAGUCCCUGUCUCUUAUAC
rnacentral:rRNA from 1 species